rnacentral:rRNA from 1 species
GAUGAACGCUGACAGAAUGCUUAACACAUGCAAGUCAACUUGAACUUCGGUUUGGGUGGCGGACGGGUGAGUAACGCGUAAAGAACUUGCCUCACAGCUAGGGACAACAUUUGGAAACGAAUGCUAAUACCUGAUAUUAUGAUUUUAGGGCAUCCUAGAAUUAUGAAAGCUAUAUGCGCUGUGAGAGAGCUUUGCGUCCCAUUAGCUAGUUGGAGAGGUAACGGCUCACCAAGGCGAUGAUGGGUAGCCGGCCUGAGAGGGUGAACGGCCACAAGGGGACUGAGACACGGCCCUUACUCCUACGGGAGGCAACAGUGGGGAAUAUUGGACAAUGGACCAAGAGUCUGAUCCAGCAAUUCUGUGUGCACGAUGAAGUUUUUCGGAAUGUAAAGUGCUUUCAGUUGGGAAGAAAAAAAUGACGGUACCAACAGAAGAAGUGACGGCUAAAUACGUG